rnacentral:rRNA from 1 species
UACGUAGGGUGCAAGCGUUGUCCGGAAUUAUUGGGCGUAAAGAGCUCGUAGGCGGUUUGUUGCGUCGGCUGUGAAAUCCCGAGGCUCAACCUCGGGUCUGCAGUCGAUACGAGCAAACUAGAGUGUUGCAGGGGAGACUGGAAUUCCUGGUGUAGCGGUGAAAUGCGCAGAUAUCUGGAGGAACACCGGUGGCGAAGGCGGCAUCCUGGACCGAGAUUGACGCUGAGGCGCGAAAGCCAGGGGAGCAAACGGG